rnacentral:rRNA from 1 species
UACGGGGGGGGCAAGCGUUGUUCGGAAUUACUGGGCGUAAAGGGCUCGUAGGCGGCCAACUAAGUCAGACGUGAAAUCCCUCGGCUUAACCGGGGAACUGCGUCUGAUACUGGAUGGCUUGAGUUUGGGAGAGGGAUGCGGAAUUCCAGGUGUAGCGGUGAAAUGCGUAGAUAUCUGGAGGAACACCGGUGGCGAAGGCAGCCUUCUGGGCCAACACUGACGCUCACGCACGAAAGCGUGGGGAGCAAACAGG